rnacentral:rRNA from 1 species
UACGUAGGUGGCAAGCGUUGUCCGGAUUUACUGGGCGUAAAGGGCGUGCAGGCGGUUUGUUAAGUUCAGGGUGAAAGCUCCCGGCUCAACUGGGAGAGGUCCUUGGAUACUGGCAGACUUGAGGAGGGUAGAGGAGAGUGGAAUUCCCGGUGUAGUGGUGAUAUGCGUAGAUAUCGGGAGGAACACCAAUAGCGAAGGCAGCUCGCUGGGACGUUACUGACACUGAGGCGCGAAAGCGUGGGGAGCGAACAGG